UAGCCGUAAACGAUACUCGCUAGGUGUCGGCCACGGUGCGACCGUUGUCGGUGCCGUGGGGAAGCCGUGAAGCGAGCCACCUGGGAAGUACGGCCGCAAGGCUGAAACUUAAAGGAAUUGGCGGGGGAGCACCACAACGGGUGGAGCUUGCGGUUUAAUUGGAUUCAACGCCGGAAAUCUUACCGGGACCGACAGCAACAUGAAGGCCAGGCUGAAGACUUUGCCGGAUUAGCUGAGAGGAGGUGCAUGGCGUAGUCGUGU
rnacentral:rRNA from 1 species